UACGGGGGGGGCAAGCGUUGUUCGGAAUUACUGGGCGUAAAGGGCUCGUAGGUGGCCAACUAAGUCGAACGUGAAAUCCCCGGGCUCAACCCGGGAACUGCGUCCGAUACUGGAAGGCUUGAAUCCGGGAGAGGGAUGCGGAAUUCCAGGUGUAGCGGUGAAAUGCGUAGAUAUCUGGAGGAACACCGGUGGCGAAGGCGGCAUCCUGGACCGGUAUUGACGCUGAGGCGCGAAAGCCAGGGGAGCAAACGGG
rnacentral:rRNA from 1 species